GAAGUUUCUAGCCUUGUUCUUCCAACAUAGGAGCCAAGAUUCAUCCAUCUUUCCUUUGAAACUUUGAGGCGGUGAGAUCUCAGCUCGAAGAAAGGAACUGGCGGAAGAUUAGCGUGCUAGAAAUUUAAAUCGCCUAAGAGUUGGGGAUGGUGUCUUGGAUCUGGACCGCAUGCUUGUUAUGCAUAUAUUGCAUUUUGUUGUGCUUCCACAUGUUUUGAUGGUGACCAGGCGGAGCCUUGCCCUACUAUUGUAGGCAAUCCUCACUGCCAACCUGUUGAGGUGGCGUGAAGACCCGAGUUUGUUGUCCAGUUCAAGUGGCAUGUAGAAUCUUGAAUGGAUAUGCAUUGAGAAUCUGGAGUCACCAUACUGGCUCUUGGUGGGCCAACAUCAAAGUUAUGAACAUUUUGAUGGCUCUCGACCAAGUCGCGAUGGCAGCUAAGUUUGAAAGCGUUUUUAGGCCAUUGAUCAUUACUUCGAGAUGGAAUUUUCGUAUUUGAGAAGAUUUUUGUUUUCAUGUGAUUGGGUUUUUGAGUAGUAUUCUAUUGUAUACUUGUUAAGACAUUGUUUGAUGUUAGGCUUAUCUUAUAUGUAAUAUUGAACUUGAGUUAUACAUUUGUGGAUUUUUUUUAAAAUUGUUGAAACAUUCAUUUGAUCGAAAAUG